AUGAUUUUUUAAGUGCGUGCAUGUUUUGUAAGCAUUUAAGUGUGUAGAGGCGUCACGUACGUGGUCUGGCUAGCUGUUAUCUAACAUAAUUUUGGUGUAAUCACAUGUGGUUUUUAUGUGUGAUUUAGUGUUACACAUUUUCACUUAGUUUACUUAUAUUCUGGUGUUUUAAGUGCGCGGUUGGAAUUAUAUAAGUGUAUAGCUGUCACGUAGUCUGUGUGUGGCCUGGUAACAUCGCGGCUGAGGUGUAAUUAUGUAAUUUUUAUAUAUUGGAGGUUUUUAGGCCUGACAGACAGUAAGUAGCUUUAUCUAUAAUAAGAGGAUGGCAUUAUAAAGUAAGAAUCCAGGAACUUGUAAGUCUUUUUUUUUCCACUGACAGAAUGACAAAGACAACAGCUUCAAACAGUGGGAUCCCUGCAAUGGACAUUAGUGUAUCAUUUGAUGGCACAUACGUCAUUCUACGCAUCAGCUGUUCUCUGGAGCUGCAGAAUACAAUUUCCACCAUAAUUAACUACAUAUCCCAAGGGUGUGAAUGCCAUAAUCCUUGGUGUAGCUGUACUUGCCCUUGCUUCUGUACCUGCCUGCCAUUCUGGUUUCAAGUAAACGAGUUUUUUUAAGAUGUCAUUUGUAGUUGUGGAGUUUCUGGAUGAAAAGGCAGUUGAAGUUGUUCCCAAGUCAUGGAUAAUGCAUAAAGAAAAAGGUCUGUUUUGUUACUGGCCUCCAAGGGCAGGUGCUGCAGCCAAGGUGAAAAAGGAAGAAAUCCCAGAUAAAGAAAAAUGGAAUUCAUACGAGAUAAGGAUUUU